GGAGCCCUUUCGCCAGCUUUUCAUUUUAUUUCAAAAACAAUGGCGGACAGCACAAGCGGUAGACCACGAAGCUACAGACUGUAAAUAGACGUUUCCUGGAGGUGCUGGUGCUGGCUGGUCCUCUGCUGCCCUCCCGACAUCUGCAUCUGGCUCCAAUGACCUCUGGCACAAACCUCACAUCCACCUCCAGGGCCUUUAAGAAGAUGCACCGCCAUCGCGUCUUCAGUAUCCCGAAGGACCUCUCCACAACACACCUCGCCUUUGACAGGCAGCAGUUGUAGCGUGCUUGGAGGUGGUUGUGGACAGGCUGCCUGAAGGGGGUCAUGAGGCAGAUGGGUUGGGACAGGCAGGGGUAGCCACCAUCCCCAAGGAUACAGUAUCCUGGUGGAGGGUAUGACUGCUCAUAGAAGAUGGGGCUGUUAUUCAGGACCCUGGCAUCAUGCACUGAGUCUGGGUAGCCCAAACACACUUCUAUGAAUUUGCACUUAUCACAGAUGGCCUGCAGCUGGAUGUAAUGAAAAAGCUUCCUGUUAAAAUAGCAGGCAGCAUCCUCCGCUGGGGGCUUCACUCUGACGUGGCAGCCAUCAAUAGCCCCCACCACUCUGCUGAAGGCUGCCGACCCAGCUAGACGGGCGAAGUGGGCAGGGGAAGGGAAGAUUAUAUUAAUAUGCAAGUCAUUCUAUCAAUAAAAUGUUGUCAUUGAGGUUUUGUAGUCUUUUAUUGCGUUUUCUGAUUUAUAUUAGAAUUGAUGCAUGUUUGUAACAAUAAUUAAUAUGCCUGUGUGUUCAAUUGCUCAUUGAUUCCUGUAUCAGGGUAAACUUAACUACAACAGAGAUGUGUAUGAAAGUACAGUCAGUCAAAGUAGGCCUAUUACUGUGUGAAUUCAAGCAGAUGAUGCCUAUCAUUUCAGUGGAUAAUUCUUAAAACUAAUUGGAAUCUAGGGACAAACAUGUA